rnacentral:rRNA from 1 species
AUUGAACGCCGGCGGCAUGCUUUACACAUGCAAGUCGGACGGCAGCACAGAGAAGCUUGCUUCUUGGGUGGCGAGUGGCGAACGGGUGAGUAACAUAUCGGAACGUACCGAGCAGUGGGGGAUAACUAAUCGAAAGAUUAGCUAAUACCGCAUAUAUUCUGAGGAAGAAAGCAGGGGACCAUUUGGCCUGCGCUGUUUGAGCGGCCGAUAUCUGAUUAGCUAGUUGGUGGGGUAAAGGCCUACCAAGGCGACGAUCAGUAGCGGGUCUGAGAGGAUGAUCCGCCACACUGGGACUGAGACACGGCCCAGACUCCUACGGGAGGCAGCAGUGGGGAAUUUUGGACAAUGGGCGCAAGCCUGAUCCAGCCAUGCCGCGUGUCUGAAGAAGGCCUUCGGGUUGUAAAGGACUUUUGUCAGGGAAGAAAAGGAUAGGGUUAAUACCCCUGUCUGAUGACGGUACCUGAAGAAUAAGCACCGGCUAACUACGUGCCAGCAGCCGCGGUAAUACGUAGGGUGCGAGCGUUAAUCGGAAUUACUGGGCGUAAAGCGGGCGCAGACGGUUACUUAAGCAGGAUGUGAAAUCCCCGGGCUCAACCUGGGAACUGCGUUCUGAACUGGGUGACUAGAGUGUGUCAGAGGGAGGUAGAAUUCCACGUGUAGCAGUGAAAUGCGUAGAGAUGUGGAGGAAUACCGAUGGCGAAGGCAGCCUCCUGGGAUAACACUGACGUUCAUGCCCGAAAGCGUGGGUAGCAAACAGG